rnacentral:rRNA from 1 species
UACGAAGGGGGGCUAGCGUUGCUCGGAAUCACUGGGCGUAAAGGGCGCGUAGGCGGCCGAUCAAGUCAGGGGUGAAAGCCUGUGGCUCAACCACAGAAUUGCCUUUGAUACUGUUCGGCUCGAGACCGGAAGGAGGUAAGUGGAACUGCGAGUGUAGAGGUGAAAUUCGUAGAUAUUCGCAAGAACACCAGUGGGCGAAGGCGG